rnacentral:rRNA from 1 species
CAGUAGCCGCGGUAAUACAGAGGAUGCAAGCGUUAUCCGGAAUGAUUGGGCGUAAAGCGUCUGUAGGUGGUUUUUCAAGUCCGCCGUCAAAUCCCCGGGCUCAACCCUGGACAGGCAGUGGAAACUACCAAGCUGGAGUACGGCAGGAGCAGAGGGAAUUUCCGGUGGAGCGGUGAAAUGCGUUGAGAUGUGGAGGAACACCAGUGGCGAAGGCGACUCUCUGGUCUGUAACUGACGCUGAGGAGCGAAAGCGUGGGGAGCGAACAGGAUUAGAUACCCGGGUAGUCCCUGUCUCUUAUAC